GGAGAGCAUCUGCCUUACAAGCAGAGGGUCAGCGGUUCGAUCCCGUUAACUCCCA
rnacentral:tRNA from 2 species